GAUGAAGAACGCAGCGAAAUGCGAUAAGUAAUGUGAAUUGCAGAAUUUAGUGAAUCAUCGAAUCUUUGAACGCACAUUGCGCCCGUCAGUAUUCUGGCGGGCAUGCCUGUUCGAGCGUCAUUACGCCCCUCAAGUCCCCUGUGGACUUGGUGUUGGGGAUCGGCGAGGCUGGUUUUCCAGCACAGCCGUCCCUUAAAUUAAUUGGCGGUCUCGCCGUGGCCCUCCUCUGCGCAGUAGUAAAACACUCGCAACAGGAGCCCGGCGCGGUCCACUGCCGUAAAACCCCCCAACUUUUUAUAGUUGACCUCGAAUCAGGUAGGACUACCCUCUGAACUUAAGCAUAUCAAUAAGCAGAGGA
rnacentral:misc_RNA from 1 species